AGGUCGGGCGGCGGCGGCGGCGGCGGCGGCGGCGGGACCCGCUAGCUCCGGAGCCUCCCGCGCCAGGCCCAGCGCUGAGCGCGGCUCCAGCGGCAGCAUGGGCGGCGCCCGGGACGUGGGCUGGGUGGCGGCGGGCCUGGUCCUCGCGGCCGGAGCCUGCUACUGCGUCUACAGGCUGACGCGCGGCCGGCGGCGAGGCGGCCGCCGGCUUCGGCUGCGCCCUUCGCGGUCCGCAGAAGACUUAACCAAUGGCUCAUACGAUGACGUCCUAAAUGCUGAACAGCUUCAGAAACUCCUUUACCUGCUUGAGUCAACUGAGGAUCCAGCCAUUAUCGAAAGAGCUUUGGUCACCGUGGGGAACAGCGCAGCCUUUUCCGCCAACCAGGUCGUUAUUCGUGAACUGGGUGGUAUUCCAGUCGUUGGAAGCAAAAUCAACAGUCCCAACCAGAGUAUCAAAGAGAAAGCUUUAAAUGCACUGAAUAACCUGAGUGUGAAUGUUGAAAAUCAAAUCAAGAUAAAGGUGUAUGUGAAUCAAGUCUGCGAGGAUGUGUUGUCUGGCCCCCUGAACUCCGCGGUGCAGCUGGCCGGACUGAGGCUGUUAACAAACAUGACAGUUACCAACGACCACCAGCACAUGCUUCGCAGUUACAUUACAGACCUGUUCCAUGUGUUGCUCACAGGAAAUGGAAGCACCAAGGUUCAAGUUUUGAAACUGCUUUUGAAUUUGUCUGAAAAUCCAGCCAUGACAGAUGGACUACUUGGUGCCCAAGUGGAUUCAUCAUUCCUUUCGCUCUAUGAUGGCCAUGUAGCAAAGGAGAUUCUUCUUCGAGUUCUCACGCUAUUUCAGAAUAUAAAUAACUGUCUCAAAAAGGAAGGCUGUUUAGUUAUUCACCCUACUUUCACUAAAGGUUCACUGUUUUACCUGCUAUAUGGAGAAGAAUGUGCCCAGAAAAUGAGAGCUUUAGUUUAUCACCAGGAUGCAGACGUGAAGGAAAAGGGUUAUCCUGAUACAGAAAUGAAACCUGGGAGAAAUAUUUUUACAAUAGAAAAAGGAUUCAGUAUAUGGUGGAAACAUGGAGUCCCAAUUGGCUACAGUAGUAACGUACAUUGUAAGAGGUAAGAGUGAUACUUUUAUUUAUCAGUGAUGCAAACUUAAUCCCUGAAAGGCACAUUCCUUUGUAACAAUUUUGUUUAAUCUUCUUCCUUGUUUGAUGAAAAUAUAUAUACAAAAUUGUACACACAUUAAAACCAGGAUUUGGUUUCAAUGUGCUUUAGCAGCAUUGAAUUCUAAAACUCUUCUUUUCCUCUAUUAUUAGUUUGAAUAAAUAAUCACAUUUUCUGGAGAUCAGAGCAUUCAGUAUGAAAUGUCAAAAUGCAGGAGAAAAAAAGAGGAGUUGUUUUUAACUAGCCAGAAAGAAUUACACAGUGAAAGUGCACAAUGAGUCCUCCGUCUGUGUAGGUCACGGCACAUCUUGCCUUUUUCGGUGGGCUGUCUGCUAACUGAUGGUCCCACGCUCCAGGGCAACAAGGAUCCCAGUGUUCCUCAGUUUCCACAAGAAAAAGGUAGGUCAAAGAUACCCUCUUGUUGCACGUGAGGAAACUGAGGCAUAGUGAGCUUAGGUGACUUGUUUCCGGGAACACAGAAAAUCCAUGGUGGACGAAGGAUGAAAAUUCAGAGUAAGUGGCCAACACGUGGCAUGCAUAUUAUAUAUACUUUUAUAUGUGACAACAAAUUACAGAGCACUGCCUGGGUAGCAUUUGGUAAGGAAAACCUGUUUUGAUUAUUGUUCAUUUCACUGAGACCGUGGACCGGGAAGACAGAAGGGGCUUCUGUCAUCACCAGCUCUCUCACCUGGGAAGAUUCAGAGUCACCAAGGGACUGCAGAGCCCAUCAGGGACUACCACUCAGGUCAGCUUGACUCCAGAAUUACCGUCUUUAACCACUAGUAUCCACACUGGCUUAAUACAAGUAGAACUGUGCUUAGGGAGUCAUUUCAUAUAAAAACAAGACAUCAGAAUCUGUAAAACAUGUUUAUAAAUCUCACUGACAUAUUGGUGUUAGAGCUAAGAAACCAGGAAAAAAAUCAGUAUAUGGAGAGAAGAUGGAAUAUGGAAAGGAAAGAAUUCAAAGUGUAUGGUCUAUUAAUAUUGAAGAUCUGCACUUUACCUUUGUACAUUAUUUCCUGGUAAACUAUUUCCUUGCAGCUAUAUUUGUACUUAGCAGGGCUGACUUUUCUGUAUGUUUAAUCUCCAAUUCAAUAAAUCAUAUUCUCAUAACCAUAUUUCUCCUCCCUCUGCCCAGCUCAGAGGGCUUUUGAUUUGGGGAUUGUAGACAUGCCAUAGAAUAUACUGUUCCUCUCUUAAAAAGUUAAGUCUUUACAAAUGAUAAUUUAGCCUAAACUCCUAUGUUUUUAUGUUUAAAAAAAUAAAUCACUUAAUAUUUGGCAUAUAAACUAAUCUUGAUAGAGCAAUCAUUGCUCUAAGCAUGUGGGAAUGUCAUCAUUUACUCUAAUAUGAGUAUAAGAACUAUUUCUACGUGUAGGCUUCUGAAAAUCUAGACAGGCAGACAGCCUUGCCUCAACUCACAGAAGGCCCCGAAGAAUAGAAAAACAGAAAUGAGUCUUUAAAAUCAGUUUUCCAUAAUGUCAAAAUCCUACCACUAAAGUAGAAUGCUUUAGUAAAAAAAAAAAAUUCCAUAGCAAUACUUAGGUCAUCGAGACGUGAUUUAAAAUCCACAUUACCCAAUUCAUUAUUUAAAUGACCCAUCUCUGAACUGUUUAUAUGAUUGGCCAUCAUGUUAGUAAGCAAACUGUAACAUAAGACACAAACUUGCAGAAGUGGUUUCCAAAUGUAAAAAAUCAUAAUGUUCAUGAAUUUUAGUCUUUUCAGAUUUUUAUCAGAUGGUGCCUUUUUCAUUGAAAGCUCCUGUGCUCAUGUUUAUUCAAAAGAGUUUUAAUCAUCAGUAUUAAGGUACCUUGAUUCUCCAUGCUUCAAGACAAAAAAAUCUUCAGUCUUAAGUCCGUAUCUUUCUAGAGCCUCACUCAGCUUCACUGGAGGUUCUAAGUAAUGCUGGCAAAGGACAGAGGAAAAAAUGGAAAGAGAGUAAGCAUACAUAUAUUUGGGAUGAUAUCUCAAAUAAAAGGUCAAAGUAAAAGAACCAGCAUAGCCUACGUAAAAUAAUACUCUUUCCACUGGAGUGUUAGCAAAUAAGCCAGUCACAGUGUCUUUGAUUUUUCCUUCAAGUUAGGAAAAAAUGCUGAGUAAGAUAGAACUUCAUAGUAGUAACAGCCCAAAGUGUUAAAACCUUGCAAGUAAAGGAGAAAGAUAAAUUCAAUCCUGAUGCCAUUUUUAACACUUUAAUUUCCAGAAUCAAAGCUGAAAAGCAUUAGAAGUCUAUUGUUUUGUAAAGCCCCACCCAAAAAUCCAUUCCUUCCUAUCAUUUUAAACACUAUGUUAUUAACACCUCAUAGCAUUAUUUUAUGUUUUCCUAGCAGAAAUGAUGCAGUUCCAGAAAGCACCUUCUUUCUGUAGGUCUAAGAAUUCUGUAAAUAACGGUAUAAUUCUUUUAAUGUACUCUGCAGUGAUUAUAAAGACAUGUCUUUGCAUCUUGAUAGAGUAGUGCUUUUUUCCUUUUUCAUCUUUAUUAGGUAGAACUGUUAGUUUGACUGCACAUACAUAUUAUAUUGCAGGUAAGUACAUGUACAACAUGCUGCACACUUUUAGUUUAUAUAUAUACGCUGGGCAUUGUUUCUAAGAAUUGAUUAGGGCUUUAGCUUUUUAAACUUACAUAGUUACCAAAGUUUAUAAAGCCAACCACAAAAUAAGAAUUAACAGAAUGUGGUAAUAUAAUUGUUAAGUCAAUCUAUUCAAACUUAGGCUGAACAGCAUAAAAUCUGAUUUCCCUACAUGAAAUCCCAGUCUAAAUGGGAUCCAUGCUAAAGAUACAGUUAGAGAAUUAAGUGUUACCAAUACUUUGGGAGAAUGUAGACGCGGAGAUUGUACGGAGGGUGAGUGUAUGUAAGCAAAUGCUAGGGAAGGUAUUUCAGGCUGAAGGAGGGCAGUUACCCUCAAGCUGCAGCCAGACUCUGAUGCUGUCUAAGGAGUGAAGAGGGGCCUGGGGAACAGAGCUGGUGGGGGGAAUUUCUGUUCCCUUUUUCACAGCUCAGAAAAAAAAAAAACCAGCACCUUGUUAAAGAAUAGACUAUUUGAAGAAUAUGUAUUGUUCUAACUACUGAAUAGUUAUUAAAGGUAUAAAAGAUAAAUCAUUUCACCAGUUAUUUUGGUCUAAAUCUUUACAUUGUAUAGUAGCUAUUUUUACAAUGAAUAAAGGGGAAAAAAUAGCUAUUACACAAAGGGUUUUUUCCUGGUUUCAGUUAGAAAAGCUGUAACAGGUGGAUGUUAAAGCAGGAAUAAAAAUCCAGUCUAAGUCUGCUUGUGCUUUUCAUGCAGCAGGGCCUCCCGAGCACCCAGAGUAGCCAGGCGAGUGAACCAAAUAAAACUUGCUUUCCUGGAGCUUACAUCCCACUAGAGAGACAGAUAAGAAAUGAAUAAGAACAUAGGUGGUACGUCAGUGGUUGAUGCGUACUGGGGAGAAACUGGUUGGUAAGUGUGGGAAAUGCAAGUUGAAUUCUAAAUACAAUCAUCUAAGAAGUCCUUUUCGAGAAGGCAUCAUCUGAACAGAGACCCAAUGGAGCAGGCUGCACUGCGCUUUGUGGGCGAGUGCGAUGGUCCUUCUGGAAGAGGAGUGUCAGGACCAGACUUAAGGUAACAGUGCCUCCCCUGUGCAGUGUUGAGAACAGACUGUAAGCGGGCAGUGUGGCGGCAGAGAAGGUGGUGAGCAGUCGUCAAAACAGCAUCCGGAGGGUGAGCUGAGUGCAUGUUGGGGAAAAGCCGGAUGGGGGCUAGGAGAGAGAGAAGUCAAGGUUUUGGCUGGACUAGCUGGAAGAAGGGUGUUGCCAUUGAGAUGUGAUAGAAACAAGUUUGAGGGAAGAUUAGGAAGUUUGGUCUUAGACUUAAGUUUUGGGUACCUACCAGACAUCCACGUGGAGAUGUCACGAAGGCAGCUGGAUAUAUAAACGUGGACUGUAGGGGGGAAGCAGGCUAGAGAGGUACAGUGGAUGGAUGCUGUUGAAAGCCGUAAGACUGAAGAGAUCGCCAAAGCAGCAACCAGCUAGAGACGAGAAGGGCCCCCAGACUGAGUCCUGAGGCGCACACAGCUAAGAAGGAAGGGAGGAGGGCAGCUAGCAGCAGAGAUUAAGAAGGUGCAUGUACUCCCAGGAAACCCAGCCAAGUUUUCUGUGGCUUAAGAUGGACUGGUUCACUAAUAGUUACUGGCCACACAUAUCUUUUCUUCCCACCUGCUCACCUGUUAUGUUAGGGGGUCAGGGGUGCCCUUCUGAGGAACUGAUGUCAACUAUGCUCUGGUUAUCCAUUAUUCCUAGAGAUAACCACUUACAGGACUAGCCGACAGCAGGAAUCUACUUUUAGCCUUUUUUAUGUACACAGGAGAUUGCUAACCAUGCCCCCCCAAAAAAUGUAACUUUAAAUAAUAGCCUAAGGCAAUAAGCUUCCCUUGCAAAGCUGUUUUGAAGAGAUUUCAAAUGAAAUUCUUUUUCCCCUGUGCUCUGCAAGUCUUGGUCAACAGUACACUUACACAAAUAAUUUCUUUCCUAAACUGUAACUUUAGUUACAAGCUAUACCUCAGUGUGGAUUUUAAUGCUCCCGUAUCUUUUUGAGUUUCUUCAUAGGUCAAUUCUUGGCUGUUUCAACCACCUAGAAGAUAACUCUAGACAGAGGCAAGUGACUGACAGCUGUCUCUUAGCACAAGUGCUUUAGUCCCACAGGGAAGAUAAAAAUGCCCAACAGCCAAGGGACCAAAGCAAGACAGAUGAGAGACAAAGGGGAGCAAGCGGUGAAAGCAGAUACCACCAGGACUCUGGCCCCGUUAAGGGCCAGGCCGCCCGCCCCAUACGAGGGCCACUGUUCCACAGUCUGUGCCAGCAGGGGUUCCAAAUAAAGACCCUGGUCAUUUAAGAAGUUA